UACGGGGGGGGCAAGCGUUGUUCGGAAUUACUGGGCGUAAAGGGCUCGUAGGCGGCCAACUAAGUCGGAUGUGAAAUCCCCAGGCUUAACCUGGGAACUGCAUCCGAUACUGGAUGGCUUGAAUCCGGGAGAGGGAUGCAGAAUUCCAGGUGUAGCGGUGAAAUGCGUAGAUAUCUGGAGGAAUACCGGUGGCGAAGGCGGCAUCCUGGACUGGUCCUGACACUCAUGAGCGAAAGCGUGGGGAGCGAUCCGG
rnacentral:rRNA from 1 species